rnacentral:rRNA from 1 species
AUUGAACGCUGGCGGCAGGCCUAACACAUGCAAGUCGAGCGGAGCGGCGGACGGGUGAGUAAUGCCUAGGAAUCUGCCUGGUAGUGGGGGAUAACGUCCGCAAACGGGCGCUAAUACCGCAUACUAUCAGAUGAGCCUAGGUCGGAUUAGCUAGUUGGUGGGGUAAAGGCCUACCAAGGCGACGAUCCGUAACUGGUCUGAGAGGAUGAUCAGUCACACGGAAACUGAGACACGGUCCAGACUCCUUAGGGAGGCAGCAGUGGAGAAUAUUGGACGAAGUGCGAAGACCUGAUCCAACCGUGCCGCGUGUGUGAAGAAGGUCUUCGGAUUGUAAGGCACUUUAAGUUGGAAGGCGUUACCGACGGAAUAAGCACCGGCUAACUUCGUGCGAGCAGCCGCGGUAAUUC